rnacentral:rRNA from 1 species
CACGUUGAAACAUCGCUUAUCGUCCUAUCACCGAAGUUAAGCAAGGUCGAGCAUGGACAGUACCUAGAUGAGUGAUCGCUUGGGAAAACCAGGUGUUGUAC